rnacentral:rRNA from 1 species
AUUGAACGCUGGCGGCAGGCCUAACACAUGCAAGUCGAACGAGUGGCGGACGGGUGAGUAAUGUCUGGGAAACUGCCUGAUGGAGGGGGAUAACUACUGGAAACGGUAGCUAAUACCGCAUACCAUCGGAUGUGCCCAGAUGGGAUUAGCUAGUAGGUGGGGUAACGGCGCACCUCGGCGACGAUCCCUAGCUGGUCUGAGAGGAUGACCAGCCAAACUGGAGCGAAGGCACGGUCCAGACUCCAACGGGAGGAAGCAGUGGGGAAUAUUGCACAAUGGGCGCAAGCCUGAUGCAGCCAUGCCGCGUGUAUGAAGAAGGCCUUCGGGUUGUAAAGUACUUUCAGCGAGGAGGCGUUACCCGCAGAAGAAGCACCGGCUAACUCCGUGCCAGCAGCCGCGGUAAUAC